rnacentral:lncRNA from 14 species
AGCAGCGCUGUCAUCACGACUAGAAGAGUACACUCUUCAGUCCCCAUGAGAAGCAGGCAAAUACUCUAUCUUCUAAACUACAAACUGUGUUUGCCAGUGCUGAGCAAACGUAUGUAAGUGUGCUGUGCUGUGCUGGCCUCCUCUUCUUUGUCUCUCUCAGGAACUUUUCACUGUGCAAGGAAAAACAGAGCCAGGAUUUCACCUAACGACAUUAACUUCAGC